UUCCAGACUCCUACGGGAGGCAGCAGUGGGGAAUAUUGCACAAUGGGGGAAACCCUGAUGCAGCAACGCCGCGUGAGUGAAGAAGUCAUUCGUGAUGUAAAGCUCUAUCAGCAGGGAAGAAAAUGACGGUACCUGACUAAGAAGCCCCGGCUAACUACGUGCCAGCAGCCGCGGUAAUACGUAGGGGGCAAGCGUUAUCCGGAUUUACUGGGUGUAAAGGGAGCGCAGACGGCAGUGCAAGUCUGGAGUGAAAGCCCGGGGCCCAACCCCGGAACUGCUCUGGAAACUGUGCGGCUAGAGUGCUGGAGGGGCAGGCGGAAUUCCUAGUGUAGCGGUGAAAUGCGUAGAUAUUAGGAGGAACACCAGUGGCGAAGGCGGCCUGCUGGACAGUAACUGACGUUGAGGCUCGAAAGCGUGGGGAGCAAACAGGAUUAGAUACCCCAGUAA
rnacentral:rRNA from 1 species